AUUGAACGCUGGCGGCAGGCCUAACACAUGCAAGUCGAACGCGUGGCGGACGGGGGAGUAAUGUCUGGGAAACUGCCCGAUGGAGGGGGAUAACUCCUGGAAAAGGUAGCUAAUACCGCAUACCAUCUGAGAUGCCCCGAUGGGAUUAGCUAGUAGGUGGGGUAAAGGCUCACCUAGACGACGAUCCCUAGAUGGUCUGAGAGGAUGACCAGCCACACUGGAACUGAGACACGGUCCAGACUCCUACGUGAGGCAGCAGUGGGGAAUAUUGCACAAUGGGCGCAAGCCUGAUGCAGCCAUGCCGCGUGUAUGAAGAAGGCCUUCGGGUUGUAAAGUACUUUCAGCGGGGAGGCGUUACUCGCAGAAGAAGCACCGGCUAACUCCGUGCCAGCAGCCGCGGUAAUAC
rnacentral:rRNA from 1 species